rnacentral:rRNA from 1 species
ACGGUGCUGAAGCAACAAAUGCCCUGCUUCCAGGAAAAGCCUCUAAGCCUCAGGUAACAUCAAAUCGUACCCCAAACCGACACAGGUGGUCAGGUAGAGAAUACCAAGGCGCUUGAGAGAACUCGGGUGAAGGAACUAGGCAAAAUGGUGCCGUAACUUCGGGAGAAGGCACGCUGACACGUAGGUGAAGUGGUUUACCCAUGGAGCUGAAGUCAGUCGAAGAUACCAGCUGGCUGCAACUGUUUAUUAAAAACACAGCACUGUGCAAACACGAAAGUGGACGUAUACGGUGUGACGCCUGCCCGGUGCCGGAAGGUUAAUUGAUGGGGUCAGCGCAAGCGAAGCUCCUGAUCGAAGCCCCGGUAAACGGCGGCCGUAACUAUAACGGUCCUAAGGUAGCGAAAUUCCUUGUCGGGUAAGUUCCGACCUGCACGAAUGGCGUAAUGAUGGCCAGGCUGUCUCCACCCGGGACUCAGUGAAAUUGAACUCGCUGUGAAGAUGCAGUGUACCCGCGGCAAGACGGAAAGACCCCGUGAACCUUUACUAUAGCUUGACACUGAACACUGGUCCUUGAUGUGCAGGAUAGGUGGGAGGCUUUGAAGUGUGGACGCCAGUCUGCAUGGAGCCAUCCUUGAAAUACCACCCUUUAAUGGCUGGUGUUCUAACGUGGGCCCGUGAACCGGGUUGCGGACAGUGUCUGGUGGGUAGUUUGACUGGGGCGGUCUCCUCCUAAAGAGUAACGGAGGAGCACGAAGGUUGGCUAAUCCUGGUCGGACAUCAGGAGGUUAGUGCAAUGGCAUAAGCCAGCUUGACUGCGAGCGUGACGGCGCGAGCAGGUGCGAAAGCAGGUCAUAGUGAUCCGGUGGUUCUGAAUGGAAGGGCCAUCGCUCAACGGAUAAAAGGUACUCCGGGGAUAACAGGCUGAUACCGCCCAAGAGUUCAUAUCGACGGCGGUGUUUGGCACCUCGAUGUCGGCUCAUCACAUCCUGGGGCUGAAGUAGGUCCCAAGGGUAUGGCUGUUCGCCAUUUAAAGUGGUACGCGAGCUGGGUUUAGAACGUCGUGAGACAGUUCGGUCCCUAUCUGCCGUGGGCGCUGGAAGAUUGAGGGGGGCUGCUCCUAGUACGAGAGGACCGGAGUGGACGCAUCACUGGUGUUCGGGUUGUCAUGCCAAUGGCACUGCCCGGUAGCUACAUGCGGAAGAGAUAAGUGCUGAAAGCAUCUAAGCACGAAACUUGCCCCGAGAUGAAUCUUCCCUGAGCCUUUAAGGCUCCUGAAGGAACGUUGAAGACGACGACGUUGAUAGGCCGGGUGUGUAAGCGCAGCGAUGCGUUGAGCUAACCGGUACUAAUGAACCGUGAGGCUUAACC